rnacentral:rRNA from 1 species
CAGCAGCCGCGGGAACACGGAGGGUGCAAGCGUUAAUCGGAAUUACUGGGCGUAAAGCGCACGCAGGCGGUCUGUCAAGUCAGAUGUGAAAUCCCCGGGCUUAACCUGGGAACUGCAUUUGAAACUGGCAGGCUAGAGUCUUGUAGAGGGGGGUAGAAUUCCAGGUGUAGCGGUGAAAUGCGUAGAGAUCUGGAGGAAUACCGGUGGCGAAGGCGGCCCCCUGGACAAAGACUGACGCUCAGGUGCGAAAGCGUGGGGAGCAAACAGGAUUAGAUACCCGCGUAGUCCCUGUCUCUUAUAC